AAAGGGAGCUAGCAGAGCCCUGAAGGCAGUGUUCCCAAGGCGAGACUCGUUCAAUGCACCCUGCUUGUUCUGACCCCAGCAGUUCACAAAUGUGGGGAACUUCCCUGCACAGUUUAUGGUAAUGGAGGUGUGCAUUUAUUCAGGCUUCUC
rnacentral:snRNA from 1 species